GUGGAUUUAAAAUAAAUGUAAAAAAUAUUAGUUUGUGAGUGUUAGUGGAAAUGUCUGUGUGUGUGUCUGUGAGUGUUUAUUUUGAAGUGAAUGUGUGUGUGUGUGUCUGUAAGUGUGUAAUUGUGUGUGUCUGUAAGUGAAUGUGUGUGUGUCUGUGAGUGAAUGUGUGUGUUGGUCAGUGAGUGUAUAUGUGUCAGUCAGUGAGUGUAUAUGUGUCAGUCAGUGAGUGUGUAUGUGUCAGUCAGUGAGUGUGUAUGUGUCAGUCAGUGAGUGUGUAUGUGUCGUCAGUGAGUGUGUAUGUGUCGUCAGUGAGUGUGUGUCGGUCAGUGAGUGUGUAGGUCAGUGAGUGUGUAUGUGUCGGUCAGUGAGUGUGUGUCGGUCGGUCAGUGAGUGUGUAUGUGUCGGUCAGUGAGUCGGUCAGUGAGUGUGUGUCGGUCAGUGAGUGUGUGUCGGUCAGUGAGUGUGUGUCAGUCAGUGUGUAUGUGUCGGUCAGUGGAGUCGUGCAUCUUUCAGUGAGUGCUUGCAUCUGUCAGUGAGAGUGUGCAUCUGUCAGUGUGUGUCCAAGUAAUAGUGUAUGUGUGUAUGUCAUUGUUUGUCAGUGUAUAUGAGUGUGUGUGUCUGUCAGUGAGUGUGUGUCUGUCAGUGAGUGUGCGUCUGUCAGUGAGUGAGCGUCUG